UAUGCACACAAACCCAAAGAGCAUUGUUGAACCUGUGCAGUGUUCUUGUCAUGUGUGCGCAAAGUAAAAAAAGCACCUUGUCGCCUUUCGUUAGCUGUCGUGCAAAUGGAAGUGAAAUCAAGGUUCAACACGA